GUCGCUUAGACUCCUAAAUGCAGUUCUUCUCUCUCGAGACCACCUUGGAUUGGAGAACACCCAAAUGAGCAGGAUUGCUUUUGCUUUCAAAAGAGUGAUACCUGGAGCACAGGUAUUCUCCACUGGUUGAAUGCAAAUGGAAGCCAGAGGAAAAGGGAACCCUUGACACAGUUUUCAUAUAGAUUGGCCUCCAGGGCAGACAGCAGGAGUGGGGUUUAAUCUGGACUGAAUUGGAGGAAAGGAACUGGCACCAGAGUGGAGGCUGGAAGGAUGGUGGAACUGACACUGGGACAGAACACAGAAAACAGAAUCUAAUGCUA
rnacentral:lncRNA from 10 species